rnacentral:rRNA from 1 species
GGUGACAGUGGUGUGAGCGGCCGGGGGAAAUACGGGGGGGCAAGGGUUAAUCGGAUUUACUGGGCGGAAAGCGCGCGUAGGCGGCUAGUUAAGGCAAAUUUGAAAUGCCCGGGCGUAACUUGGGAAUUGCAUUCGAUACUGGUUAGCUAGAGUGUGGGAGAGGAUGGUAGAAUUCCAGGUGUAGCGGUGAAAUGCGUAGAGAUCUGGAGGAAUACCGAUGGCGAAGGCAGCCAUCUGGCCUAACACUGACGCUGAGGUGCGAAAGCAUGGGGAGCAAACAGGAUUAGAUACCCUUGAGUC